GACGAACGCUGGCGGCGUGCUUAACACAUGCAAGUCGAACGGUAAGGCCUUCGGGUACACGAGUGGCGAACGGGUGAGUAACACGUGGGUGAUCUGCCCUGCACUUCGGGAUAAGCCUGGGAAACUGGGUCUAAUACCGGAUAUGACUUCUGGCUUCAUGGUUGGGAGUGGAAAGCUUUUGCGGUGUGGGAUGGGCCCGCGGCCUAUCAGCUUGUUGGUGGGGUAAUGGCCUACCAAGGCGACGACGGGUAGCCGGCCUGAGAGGGUGUCCGGCCACACUGGGACUGAGAUACGGCCCAGACUCCUACGGGAGGCAGCAGUCGGGAAUAUUGCGCAAUGGAGGAAACUCUGACGCAGUGACGCCGCGUAUAGGAAGAAGGUUUUCGGAUUGUAAACUAUUGUCGUGAGGGAAGAAAUUGACAGUACCUCAGGAGGAAGCUCCGGCUAACUAUGUGCCAGCAGCCGCAGUAA
rnacentral:rRNA from 1 species